rnacentral:rRNA from 1 species
GCAAGUCGAGCGGAAACGGAACUAGCUUGCUAGUAGACGUCGAGCGGCGGACGGGUGAGUAACGCGUAGGAAUGUACCCUAUAGUGGGGGAUAGCCCGGGGAAACCCGGAUUAAUACCGCAUACGUCUUCGGAUGAAAGGUGGCCUCUAUUUAUAGGCUAUUGCUAUAGGAUCAGCCUGCGUAAGAUUAGCUUGUUGGUGAGGUAAAGGCUCACCAAGGCAACGAUCUUUAGCUGGUUUGAGAGGAUGAUC